rnacentral:lncRNA from 1 species
GCAACAAUCGAGAAGCGAGGCCGCCUCAUGAAGUCAGCUGCAUCUGGACGCCGUUCACGCAGCACGAGGCCACCGAAACGUGGAUCGGAAGGCACGCGGCGGCUUCGCCUCGAGGCUGAGCGAGAGACACACGCGUGGGCCGCGCACAACGACACGCUGCGUCGUGAGGCCGAUAAGGCACCCCGCCUGCACGCCCACGUCCUCGCUCCACUGGCGCUUGGUCGUUCCGCCGCUGCUCGAGGGCCGACCAGCCCAAAGACGUGGCUGAGCGACGGGAAGCCCGCAGCUGCGCCUCGGUGUCGUCCCGUAUGGAUUGACACGGCCCUGUGCACCCGAGAAGCCAGCGUGCAAAAAGAGACAUCACUCCAAGUUCACUGAAUGUGCGUAAGCAAUUGCUUACAAUGUGCCCAGGACUUGCGGGGCUAACUACUUUGGUCCAAGCGGAAGGUUCCUCUACGAUCAUCUUGGAGAGCAUAGUCACAGUGUGACAAAAAUGAGAUGGGGGUCUCUGGAUACACACUGAAGAAAUUAUAAUCGCGGGAAAGAUUAGCAAAAAUGCCUAAGCGUUAUCCGAUUUUUACUGCCUGCCUGAAUGUCAGCAGAAGUGCUAAAACAGUUGGCCCGCGAAGUCAUUAAACAUAAUUGGUUGACAGGUCAGGUGACACCUGUGCUAAAGCUACCAAGGUAGGAUCUGUCUUUCUUGCGCGAAGCUAUAGAAAUUUUGUGCAGUCUGCGCGCACAUGACGUGUAACAGCUUUCUUGCCUUUAUGUGUAUAGUCCCUUCGUUCGAAAUAAAAACCCUUCUUGGUCA